UACGAGGGGUGCAAACGUUAUUCGGAAUUACUGGGUGUAAAGGGUAUGUAGACGGCAUUUUAAGUCAAUUGUUAAAUUCCCCGGCUUAACCGGGGGCAGGCGAUUGAAACUAAGGAGCUAGAGGAUGGAAGAGAGAAGUGGAAUUCUCGGAGUAGCGGUAAAAUGCGUAGAUCUCGAGAGGAACACCGAUGGCGAAGGCAGCUUCUUGGUCCAUUACUGACGUUGAGAUACGAAAGCGUGGGGAGCAAACAGG
rnacentral:rRNA from 1 species